UGUUUGGUCAGCUGUAUACAAUACAUGGCGUACAGUAUAGCAACGUUAUUCCAACUGUUUUUGCUCUACUUCCUAAUAAAACUCAGGCAACAUACACUCGACUCUUCCAUGAAUUAAAAACGUUACGACCAGGUUUACGUCCUACAACAAUAAUGGUGGAUUAUGAAAAAGCAGCAAUUAAUGCUUUACAACAAGAGUUUCCUGAAGUCAGAAUCCGUGGAUGUUUCUUUCAUUUCACACAAUGUUUGUGGAGAAACAUGCAAGGUACAGGACUGCAACAAGUUUAUACAGUGUUGCAGUUCCGCAAUUUUCUUUUAACUUAUGGCUCUCCCCGUAUAGUUAAAAUACUUUCUUGAAAACGUUGGUUGCUCUUAGAUGUCGUAAAAAAGGGUCGGGUCUAAUGGAUGAACUGUUAUGAACUAUAAAUAUACGAACUUUUAAUUAUAACUCGGUUUAUUACUAUUGGGAACGUGUCGACAUCACAUCGGUCUAAUUAUGGUUAACUACGUCGCGGAACGAAAAUAAUGAAAAAUUGGUAAUAAACCAAUAUCGAAGAAGAGACCCCCCUAAAAAUGUGUUUAUUUAAUCCCAGUUAGACGGGACUAAGUCAGUAGUGCACAGUUCGUUGAGCGAAGAAGGUGUUCUUCCUUUGGUAGCAAGGGCUACCCUGCGUCCCAUGACGGGAUCCAGACAUCAUCGUUCCUGAGCUAGGAGGUGAUGUCCUUGCCAAUUACUACAGCAAUCCUGCUGCAUUGUACGUCCCUGAGAGGAGAGUUUUUAAGGUACCAAAACAAGUUUUAAAGUACAUUUUACGUUGCUGCGGUAUCAUCAGAUACCCCUUUUUCUCCAAAUAACUUUUAACGUCGCGAAGUGCGCGAAUUUGCAAAGACAUUGGGUCUUUAAUCGUAUAGACAUUCAUUUUAAACGUAUCUCUAUAUUUUUCUGUGUUGUAUCAUAUUAUAAUAAUAAUUAUUGCAUGUGUUUUA